rnacentral:lncRNA from 1 species
UCCCGUUGGCCCCUUUUUCGGCCACGAUCUCCGCCAAUUACUCCAGAUCUCCUCUACGCUUAUCCUGUAGUUGCUCAGUCGAUCGCCCUUUCCUUUGAGAGAUCCUUCACUAUAAAAGCCGCUCGCCUCCUCCAGAAAAAGGUGAAGUUCAUUGUGCCCUUUGUCUAGAGCAUUUCUCAUUAACAGUUGUGCCUUCACUCUUCAAGGUCUGACGCCACGCCGAUGGGGUUUUGAGCGGCCUCACCCUGUCCGAUACCAAUUGUUUUGCUUGUGUACGUGCCAAGUGGGCUGUCAGUUCUUGAGCAAUUUACUGUUGGUUGCUUUUCUGGGAUUUUUUACCUCAACAUUUAGCACAGUUUGUGGGAGCGAAAGUUUCUCAAUACUAUAAUGCACCUGCUAGUCUCGUAUUGCUUAGACAAAACUCCAAUCAAUCUCCAGCUCUCGAAGUCAUCCAAUCCACCGUGAAGAUGCCCGGUAUUGCCUCGAAAAAUUAGAGUAAUGAACGAGCUCAAUCACGUUUAGUGCAACCCUCACUUAAGCUCCACCCCAGCCAUCGUCCCAGUCCUAUACGUUCUUUAAACGAUUUUGCCAUUCUAAUUGAUUCAGGCGAUCAGGGUAACUUCUCAAAAUCCCAAAUGCAAUCGGCUUGUUCCACAUAAAGUAUUCGUCGCCAAUCUCCCAGCCAUCACUCUAGAUGGAAGGCGAGGUAGAAAUCUUGAGGCUUCUCGAAUGCAAAUCCUCCAGCAAGAAGGACGCAAAAGUUGACCAGUGAGGAAACUCACAAGUGAGGAAGAUUUCCUCUCCCAGAUGGCCUACUACCAGAUUUUCAAAAGUCGACCAGCGAGUAAACCUCACAAGUGAGGAAGAUUGCCUCUCCCAGAUGGCCGUACUAACAGAUACAACAGGAUGCAUCAACCGAACAUAAGUUCAAGGAUCUGGAUGCCCCGUAUCCGACGCCAUUCACAAUCGGGUCAAGGUCGCCAAUAACUUGGACGAAUUUAUAUCAGAAACAAAUGGACCCCCCCCCAUUCAUGGAGAUGGGGAUGAGUGUCGGGUGUCUUCCAGAUUCAGCUCCCUUCUCAGUUUGGGAUUUUUUACGAGGGAAGACAGAUCUAAUAGACCACUUGGAUUCAGUCAAGAACCUUAAUUUUUACUUCAAGGAGCUUCAAACAAGGUGAUGUGGCAGAGCUUUCCUCGGCAACCCUGAAGGUUGGCGAGUAUCAUGGUUCAGGAAGUUGUCACCACCUAGCACCAUUGACUCGUUUUGGCAACCUGCGUACAUGUUUUGUCGACAAUUUCUUAAGUUGGCAAGUGUCAGGCAGAAGAACGCCUUCCACCCUUUACGUUAAACGAUCCAUCAAAAGGCUGGAGAAGCCUUAAGGCAGAUUUAAGGUGAUUCAAGUCAGGCUGUCCUCGAAGUAGGACCCCAUGUGAUACAUCAUGGCAAUGAGGUGGGACUUACCCAACGCACGAUCUAAUUUGACUCCUGUCAAAAAACGUGCCAGAGACCUUGUCGAUACUUGCCAAAUUAAAAGCAAUACAAAUAUAUCGUGCUGAAUAUUGGCAGAGGCCAAACGAAAUAGACAAGGAAAAGAAGAUUACAAAGGGAAAGAACCAGAUUCAGGAGAUAGAUUCAGGGGCAACUUGAAGUCGAGAAGCUCGAGAUGGAUGCUAGAAAGCGAGACAAGACGAUGCCCCGAACUCCUCCUCGCUGCAGCAGAACUCAUGUUGCCUCCUUUCAACGCCCCCAUUGCUCAAGUACUUAUGGAAAUUAAGAAUGAGGAGUUCGUGAAAUGGCCCGAGAAGAUGAAGACUAACCCACUCCGGAGAAACAAGAACAAUAUUGUGAGUUUCACCAAGAUCACAGCUAUAACAUAGAGAUGUUUCUAGUUGGAGGAGCAGAUAAGUGACUUGAUCAAGAGGGGAUACCUGAGAAAGUUUGUGGCUCACCGCUUGGGUCCAACUACUCCCAAAGGGCAUACAUCGGAUAAUAAACCCACUGCUGGGGAUAUUCAAACCAUCCAUGGGGUUUCGGAUCAAGAGAAUAUUCUUCAUCUUCAAGGAAGAGACAAAUCUCUGGAAGCGAAGGGGCGAGCAAAGGAAGAAAGUUUAUAACCUCUCCUCGCCCAUGACGGAGGUGAAUCCUCCCAUCACUUCACCAAUGAGGAUCAGAGGGAUCUACAUCUCCCCCAUGCGAUGCCUUAGUUGUCUUAGCCAAUUUCAAUGUCCAGAGGAUUUUGGUGACAAUGGAAAUUAUGUCGACAUCUUAUUCUCCUCGGUCUUCGACAAGAUGAAGAUUAGGCGAGAUAAACUCCAUCCAUUUCACUCCCCCAUGAUGGGGUUUUGGGGGGAGGAUCAUUCAUCAUAGGGUGGAUCAAACUACCCUUACGUGAGAACGAGCCGGACUAGACAACAGUGUGGCAAAAUUUCAUAGUUGGGAUUGGCCCUUCACCUUACAACGCCAUCCUGGGUCACCCCACUUUGGGCAAAAUCAAAGCCA